CGGGUUUAUUUGUUGAAAUAAAAAAGCAUCCAAAAGGAGAUGCUGCCCUUGAUUUUAGCAUAUACAAGCAUUAAAAGGAGGUUUGAGUAUGAAUGAUUAUUUUAUCACUGCCGCCCAAAUCGACGAGAUAAAAACAUCAGAUCUUGUCCCCAACGUAUAUGAUAUACGUUGCAAGGUCAUCAACGUAUAUGACCAGGAGUAUGAGAGUGGGGCAGCAUUUUGGCCAGACGUGCAUCUUCGUAUAAUUAUUGGUUUGAUAAUAUCGCAAUUUCUACUGAUGGGAUUGAUAAGCACGAAAGAUGCUGGACAGUCAACACCUUUCCUAAUUGCACUUCCAAUCUUGACAAUUUGGUUCCAUCGAUUUCGCAAAGGACACUCUGAAUCAGCAUUCAAUAAAUUCCCAUUACAGGUUCGUAUGGAAUACUUUAUUAAAAAAAAAAGAAAAAGUGUGUCCAGUCUGCCUUUUACUUAUGAACAUAUGAUAUAUGUGUAUCAAUACUGAUCUUUGAUUACCAGGAGGAGGAGAAAAUUUAUGCAACAAGAUAUAUCAACGUGUUGUAUCUGGUGUUUUUCUGUAAGAAAAGAAACAACUAAUGUUGAGGUAUUUGAAAACCCCCCCCCCCCCCACAAAAAAAAAAAAAAAAAAUACAGGAGUUGUAGUAUAAAGGGCUCUGAUAUCAACUCUUUGGUACAAUGAAAGAGAGGAAACAUAAUUGUUCUGAGGAGUCAGAGAGAGAUGGGUCAUUUGUAGCCACUUCAGCAUCUAUUUUUGCUACCCCUAGAUCAGUCUAUCACCUAUUUUACAUUCUUACUUUUAAAGGGGCAAACUCUAGUUGCUUAGCAAAUGGAAGACAUUUACUCAAAAUGCUUCAAUACAAAACUCAUCUGGAGCACUUGUCUUCCUUGAUAACCUUGCAGCAUUGAUUGUCAUCCUCAUCUCAAAAUAACACCCCAGACUUCACCUUAAUUUUAGCACAAUCCUGUGCUGUAGCUGAGAUGUUCAGAAAGGUAGAAAUGGGUCAUCAUACUUCACGUACUUCUUAUUUGUUAGAAUCAUAUUGGACCUAUGCCCCAUCUGCUGCUGGAAAUUUGUUGUACUAAAUUCCUAUUCUAUCUUGCUCCUCUGUAAACCAAAACAUUUCUUGACUUACAUAUGUGCUAUACAAGGCAUGUGGCCUGGCUGAUCAGCACAAUGACCCAGUGUGAUUUGGGCAAGGCCCCUACCUACAAAUUUUCUGUUUCCAAUGCACGCUCUCCUUUAAUACUGCUAACUUCAAGUUGCAAAGUAGGAAACCCGACUUUCUUUUCUUAGGGACACCUCUCGAUCAAUUUGUUAAUUAUUC